GCGAACCCACGGCCAGCAGCCGCGGUAAGUGCGAGUGUGCAAGCGUGAAGCGGAACUACUGGUCGUAAAGCGUGCGCAGGCGGCUUAUUAAGUCAUGUGUGAAAUCCCUAGGCUCAACCUAUGAACUGCAUUUGAAACUAAUAAACUAGAGUAUCGUAGAGGGAGGUAGAAUUCCAGGUGUAGCGGUGAAAUGCGUAGAUAUCUGGAGGAAUACCAGUGGCGAAGGCGACCUCCUGGACGAAAACUGACGCUCAAGCACGAAAGCAUGGGGAGCAAACAGGAUUAGAUACCCCAGUAGUC
rnacentral:rRNA from 1 species